rnacentral:rRNA from 1 species
ACAACGGGUGGAGCCUGCGGUUUAAUUGGACUCAACGCCGGGCAGCUCACCGGAUAAGACAGCUGGAUGAUAGCCGGGCUGAAGACUCUGCUUGACUAGCUGAGAGGAGGUGCAUGGCCGUCGUCAGUUCGUACUGUGAAGCAUCCUGUUAAGUCAGGCAACGAGCGAGACCCACGCCAACAGUUGCCAGCAUGUCCUCCGGGAUGAUGGGGACACUGUUGGGACCGCCUCUGCUAAAGAGGAGGAAGGAAUGGGCAACGGUAGGUCAGCAUGCCCCGAAUUAUCCGGGCUACACGCGGGCUACAAUGGUCAGGACAAUGGGUAUCGACACCGAGAGGUGGAGGCAAUUUCCUAAACCUGUCCUUAGUUCGGAUUGUGGGCUGCAACUCGCCCACAUGAAGCUGGAAUCCGUAGUAAUCGCGUUUCAAAAUAGCGCGGUGAAUAUGUCCCUGCUCCUU